rnacentral:rRNA from 1 species
AUACGUAGGUGGCAAGCGUUGUCCGGAAUUAUUGGGCGUAAAGCGCGCGCAGGUGGUUCCUUAAGUCUGAUGUGAAAGCCCCCGGCUCAACCGGGGAGGGUCAUUGGAAACUGGGGAACUUGAGUGCAGAAGAGGAUAGUGGAAGUCCAAGGGUAGCGGUGAAAUGCGUAGAGAUUUGGAGGAACACCAGUGGCGAAGGCGACUGUCUGGUCUGUAACUGACACUGAGGCGCGAAAGCGUGGGGAGCAAACAGGAUUAGAUACCCUGGUAGUCCACGCCGUAAACGAUGAGUGCUAAGUGUUGGGGGGUUUCCGCCCCUCAGUGCUGCAGCUAACGCAUUAAGCACUCCGCCUGGGGAGUACGGUCGCAAGACUGAAACUCAAAUGAAUUGACGGGG